GAGUUUGAUCAUGGCUCAGAUUGAACGCUGGCGGCAUGCCUUACACAUGCAAGUCGAACGGCAGCACGGGGGCAACCCUGGUGGCGAGUGGUGAACGGGUGAGUAAUACAUCGGAACGUGUCCUGUAGUGGGGGAUAGCCCGGCGAAAGCCGGAUUAAUACCGCAUACGAUCUGUGGAUGAAAGCGGGGGAUCCUUCGGGACCUCGCGCUACAGGGGCGGCCGAUGGCAGAUUAGCUAGUUGGUGGGGUAAAGGCCUACCAAGGCGACGAUCUGUAGCUGGUCUGAGAGGACGACCAGCCACACUGGGACUGAGACACGGCCCAGACUCCUACGGGAGGCAGCAGUGGGGAAUUUUGGACAAUGGGCGAAAGCCUGAUCCAGCAAUGCCGCGUGUGUGAAGAAGGCCUUCGGGUUGUAAAGCACUUUUGUCCGGAAAGAAAACCUCGUGGUUAAUACCCGUGGGGGAUGACGGUACCGGAAGAAUAAGCACCGGCUAACUACGUGCCAGCAGCCGCGGUAAUACGUAGGGUGCAAGCGUUAAUCGGAAUUACUGGGCGUAAAGCGUGCGCAGGCGGUCCGCUAAGACAGAUGUGAAAUCCCCGGGCUUAACCUGGGAACUGCAUUUGUGACUGGCGGGCUAGAGUAUGGCAGAGGGGGGUAGAAUUCCACGUGUAGCAGUGAAAUGCGUAGAGAUGUGGAGGAAUACCGAUGGCGAAGGCAGCCCCCUGGGCCAAUACUGACGCUCAUGCACGAAAGCGUGG
rnacentral:rRNA from 1 species